rnacentral:rRNA from 1 species
UACGUAGGGGGCGAGCGUUGUCCGGAUUUAUUGGGCGUAAAGGGCGCGUAGGCGGCUUGAUAAGCGUGCGGUGAAAGCCCGGGGCUCAACCCCGGGUCGGCCGUGCGAACUGUCGAGCUGGAGCACUGUAGAGGCAGGUGGAAUUCCGGGUGUAGCGGUGGAAUGCGUAGAGAUCCGGAAGAACACCGGUGGCGAAGGCGGUCUGCUGGGCAGUUUCUGACACUGAGGCGCGACAGCGUGGGGAGCAAACAGG